GAUGAACGCUGGCGGCGUGCCUAAUACAUGCAAGUCGAGCGAAUGGAUUGAGAGCUUGCUCUUAUGAAGUUAGCGGCGGACGGGUGAGUAACACGUGGGUAACCUGCCCAUAAGACUGGGAUAACUCCGGGAAACCGGGGCUAAUACCGGAUAACAUUUUGAACCGCAUGGUUCGAAAUUGAGAGGCGGCUUCGGCUGUCACUUAUGGAUGGACCCGCGUCGCAUUGGCUAGUUGGUGAGGUAACGGCUCACCAAGGCAACGAUGCGUAGCCGACCUGAGAGGGUGAUCGGCCACACUGGGACUGAGACACGGCCCAGACUCCUACGGGAGGCAGCAGUAGGGAAUCUUCCGCAAUGGACGAAAGUCUGACGGAGCAACGCCGCGUGAGUGAUGAAGGCUUUCGGGUCGUAAAACUCUGUUGUUAGGGAAGAACAAGUGCUAGUUGAAUAAGCUGGCACCUUGACGGUACCUAACCAGAAAGCCACGGCUAACUACGUGCCAGCAGCCGCCGCGG
rnacentral:rRNA from 1 species